UCAUGUCACUUGGAACGCGCCUAACAAAAAAUGUACAAUGUAAAUAAAUUGAACCAAGUAAUGUACUAAAAUAUGCUAUGUUAUAAUUUAAAACUCGUUAUGUUAGUCUUUUGAAAAAAAUGAAACUCAAAAGAGAUAUACUUGUUUACAGUGCAAAUUAAUGGCAAUAAUAGGGAUUUACGAUUUAAUUUGCAGGAAAAACAUGGGCAACCAACCCAGUUGGUAAAAUUUCAAUUCAAAAACUCUUUAGAUUUUACUGUGUGGAUGUCACAGGAAGAGAAAAAAUAAUAUUCAGUCACAGGAGUACAAGAACAUGAAACAUCUUAUUAUGUAUGUAUGCCAUUCUCAAACAAUUAUUGUACAAAACAAGAUAGAGAAGAGCUUUAAAAUCCCAAGGAUCCUGCGAAAAGAAAAGUGAAAAUGUUGUCUCAAUUAAUGUAGUAUAGAUGGACAUUUUUCUUUAUUUUAGUAUUAAAUGAUUAUUUAGAAUAUUAAUAGGUAUUAGUUUUAAUAGUAUUAAUAUGUAUUGUAUGAAUAAUUCCCAUCAUAUAUCUUCUGGCUAAAGUUACAAAAUAAAUAAAAAUGAAAAAACAUU